CAUCUCUGCUCAAUCCUUACACCAAAUUUUGAUGGUAUAAGAGGAUUCAGUGACAAUGCUUAUAUUAAAAAUGGAGUUUAUAGUCUCUCUGAACUAUCUAUGUCCAAGUUCUUGGGAGUUCGGAAGCACCUUACA